ACGGGGGGUGCGAGCGUUGUCCGGAAUCACUGGGCGUAAAGGGCGCGUAGGUGGCGUCGUAAGUCUGUGGUGAAAGCCCGGAGCUCAACUCCGGGUCUGCCGCGGAUACUGCGAGGCUUGAGUGCUGUAGAGGGGGGUAGAAUGCCGGGUGUAGCGGUGGAAUGCGUAGAGAUCCGGCAGAAGACCGGUGGCGAAGGCGGCCCCCUGGGCAGUAACUGACACUGAGGCGCGACAGCGUGGGGAGCAAACAGGAUUAGAUACCCUGGUAGUCCACGCCGUAAACGAUGGGCACUAGGUGCUUCGGGGAGCGACCCCUGGAGUGCCGUCGCUAACGCAUGAAGUGCCCCGCCUGGGGAGUACGGCCGCAAGGCUG
rnacentral:rRNA from 1 species